rnacentral:tRNA from 1 species
GCGCCCGUAGCUCAAUCUGGAUAGAGCGUCUGACUACGGAUCAGAAGGUUGGGGGUUCGAGUCCCUCCGGGCGCG